AUGUGUUGGUGAGGAGCAUUGUAGAUUGGUAGGGGCCUCACAAAUCACAAUAUAUAUAUUCAUGCUUCUUCAUUAUAAGGUCUACAUAAAGUCUCCUGGACAGAUUUUCUAUUCCAGCUUGCAUGUGGAUCCGCACGUGCAAUUCAAGUCAAUACACGUGUGAUCCUUUUCAUAUUUGGUCUCCAAUUAAUCAUUUCUUUAUUUUUAGCUAAAAAGUUUCAUAAUGGAGUCUCUAAAGUUGAUCAACUUAAUUGAGCAAUAAUAUCUUUGGAGUUUUGUUUGUCGAUCAAGAAAGAGGAGAAAGAGAGAUUCUUCGGCUUUCUAAUUCAGACGUGGUUAAGAAACAAAUCUGUAUAUAUACCUGUACUACUUUUUUUCUUUUCACAAUUUUGACUUUAUGUAUUAAAGUUAUUGUGAUAUAUUUUAAAUAUUAUUUAUACUGUCGUUCAAAAUACGUACACAAAAAUUUUAUUUUAUUGAUAUAAUUUUAUCUUCAGUGAAGUUAUAUUUAAGUUAAC
rnacentral:lncRNA from 1 species